GAUGAAGAACGCAGCGAACUGCGAUAAGUAAUGUGAAUUGCAGAAUUCAGUGAAUCAUCGAGUCUUUGAACGCACAUUGCGCCCCCUGGCAUUCCGGGGGGCAUGCCUGUCCGAGCGUCAUUGCUGCCCUUCAAGCCCGGCUUGUGUGUUGGGUCGUCGUCCCCCCCGGGGGACGGGCCCGAAAGGCAGCGGCGGCACCGCGUCCGGUCCUCGAGCGUAUGGGGCUUUGUCACCCGCUCGAUUAGGGCCGGCCGGGCGCCAGCCGGCGUCUCCAACCUUUUAUUUUACCAGGUUGACCUCGGAUCAGGUAGGGAUACCCGCUGAACUUAAGCAUAUCAAUAAGCGGAGGA
rnacentral:misc_RNA from 1 species